rnacentral:tRNA from 1 species
AAAGGGAGGCCUAAUUCAGGUAAAAGACGAAAAAAAAGUAGUCGCUACCAAGAAUCAAUCCCAAAAGGUCGGAGCGAGGCGAAAUUGGCUUUCAAACUAGGUUCUGGGUUCAAACAAGACCUGAAUCAGGAACAAGGGCUAUUAGCUCAGGUGGUUAGAGCGCACCCCUGAUAAGGGUGAGGUCCCUGGUUCGAGUCCAGGAUGGCCCACCUGCACAGGUGGCAAAAACAAGAGAAGCGAGGAAUCAGCACCUUAUCUUACUUAUAUAGUAAGAGAGAAUGCUGGCUCUGAGUAAAGAGUCCAGAGGAACCUUGAAAACUGCAUAGAGCUAGGUGAAAAAGCCAAAAAAGAAGACCGCAAG